GGGAAGGGAGAGAGAGGUGCUGCAUUGUGGUUGGCUGUCAAUCAGGCCUAAACCACGACAGUGGCGCCCGCCUGCUGGGGGGCACGGCCGUGGGCCCCCGCAGCCCCAGGGCCGUGUCGGCGGCGCCUCCUCCCGCUGGGAACCCUGCUGCAGCCGCCCGCCCGCAGCGCAGCGGAGGCCCAGGGCAGAGCGGGCAGGGGGGAAGGUGGCUUGGCCGCAGGGCCGACGGGGACCCAACUGGGCAUCACCCCCGGACUCUGCUGGCGGUCAGUGGAACCGGUCGCGAUGAGCUGCAACCCUGCCCCCUCCAGCACGUGCCUCUGCACCCCACAGCGGGUGACGAAGCAGGAAGCUCUCCAGGUGGGCUGAUGUCUGUGCUGCUGGAGGUGUCUGCGCCUGCGCCGGGGUUUGGGCUUCGGGUCUGUGCGUGCAGAGCUCAGGUUCAGGCGUCUUUGGAGUCGGUGAGGCAGCCCGGUGUGGAAAGGAGUGACCCGCCAGCGAAGGGGCUGGAUAAUCCCCCGAGUUCCGCUGUUUCUCGCGUGGCUUGUGUUCAACAGCUGCUGACAGCACCAGCGCUUCAGCGCCGGCAUCUGGCCUGCUGGUGUGCUGGAGGAGCGAGUGUCACAGCCGCUCUCCCUGCCGCAGACGGCCCGUGGAUUUGCGCCGCUGUAAUUGUGGAGAACGUUCACAAGAGGGUGCAGAGACCUGAUCUUUCUGCUGCUGGCUUCAGCAGCUGCCGUGUCGCGUGGCAGUAGGAAUCACGGCAGCGGGCUCCUUUGUAGAUGCCCCAUUGCUUCUCCCCCAGAAAAGAGCCCUCGGAACUCUGCUUUAUAACAACAGGCUCCUGCCUCCCUUGGCUGUGCCCUGGCAUCCAGAGGAGCCCAGCUGCUGUCACGGGAGGCGUGAGAACAGACACAGAUGCGGAAAGGUGCCUCUUGACAGAUCUCAUCCCUGCAGGGCGCAGAGAAGCAGUGCCUGAGGCGAACUGGUGCUUAUGCCCUGGGAAAUGCCUCGUCAGCUUUCUGCCCGGGUCUCUCCCGGAGGCUUUGCUUUAGGAGAGGGGUGACCUGGAAUCCAGAGGACGGUCAUUGGUUCUGACAGGGAUGGACUUUCUUAACGUUGAACCCAGCCUCAACUCUCCCUCAGUGCCCUGAACUGCGUGAGAAACAACUUCUUGCUGUGUUUUGGGGAAUGCAGGGGGACUGGUUUCAGCAAAGGCCAGACCUGAGGGUGAGAGCUUCUUCCACAGCUCUCCCACUUCCGCAUUGCCAGCCGAGGAACUGAUGGCUGCCCCGGCUGCAGCGUCUCUGUGCCACGGAGCAGCUCAGCAGUGGACACGAACGCACACGGGUCUCGUCAGAGUUAUCACGCUGGGGGUGCUGGCUGUGCCAGCAAGCAAGGUUGGACAAGGAGCCGUGUGUGUGCCCUUAAGCCCAACUCCGUCGCUUUGGCAAUGCCUCCAGGUGCCGUUACAAAUGCACAUCAUCGGGGUCUUGGGAAGGCUCCCGGUGCAAAGUGCCCCCGGUGCCCUCCCCUGUCCGCGGGACCGGCUGUGGCUUAAGCUGCAUAAGCAGAACCUGUGUCCGCGGCAGGGAGGAAAGAGGCGAUGGCUAGAUUACUGCCUGGCUCCCCAAAACACGACUUAGGGAUACAUUUUCACAACGAACACCGGCCCUUUCCCCACUGCUUGCCACACACAGGGCUGUCACUUGCACCACCUCCCUCCCAUCACAGUGGGACAGGACCACCUCCCGACCCUGCCCUUUGCCUCCGUGUCUUCUGUGCGCAGGCACCGACCUCCCCUAACUGCCCACGUGCACCUGAACAGCGAUGACGGGCUGCAGGGCGUCACUGUUUCCAUACUCUUAAUUCCUUCCCAAGACACCUCCAGCUCACGGCGGGUACCUUUGCCAAGUCAUCUCAGCCUCAGUCACCAUCACGCUGGGGUCUUUUUCAGUAUAAAAUGUCUCAUCCACCUAAAAUAAAGCUCUUGAUAAGAUUAGUCUUAUAAACUGUGUGGAUGCUGAGGCGGUACGCUCCAGAUUGGCCCACAGUAACAGAGUGUCAGGAUCUCAGGAAACGGCUUCUGCACGCCCCCCGUGCCUUUGUCUUGGUUGCAGAGCAGAGGCAAGCACGAGGCCCACGGUUUGACGGACAUGACCCCCCCCCCAUCCUUGAGAAACCACUGUGAAAACAGAGGUGACAUCAUUUUGUGAAGGACACAGCGUUCUUCCACUCACACAGGCCAUGAAAAAUAGGUGGCAAAAUCAAACACGUGAGGCACAAUUUAUGUCAUAAAUGUACGGCAAAUUUGAACCACUGGCAGUUAGUCAGGUUGUUGGCUUCUGGUUUGCGGGGACCGGUUGUCCCUGCAGUGCUGUGGCUUAGGCCAUAGGGUAGUUCAUGUCGCGUGACUGAUCUGACACUGAGCCCCGGUAAAGGCAUUCCAGCCUGCAAUACCCUCUUCCUUUACUCCGACGCUGUUCGGAUUUCUUCGCGUCUCCCUGCUGAGGCAACCAGGAAUUACAGGUUCAUGCGAGUUCAUCUGUACAAAGCCACAGAACACCUCCUUUCUCAUGCAGGAACCUAGCAGAUACAGUCCGCUAUUGGCAGGGAUCGCUAAUGUGAUGCAGGAAGACUCAUCCUCGAACAGUUUUCCGCUCCUCGUCCUGGAAGAAAAGUUUAUGCUUGCAGUGUUGUCCAAGGACAAAACCAAUACAGAAGUUCAGGAACAGAAUUUUUUGUACCCAAAUGGAAGCUGCAUCUUCUUAGUGCGAUCUCUCAGCCAUGGCAUCAGUUGAGGCAGGUACCGAGAGGUAACCCUCAUUUCAGACCGCAGGGUUGAAACCGGGAAGACCAGUCGAGAGAACGAGAACUAGACCCUGAUGGAAGCGGGACAAAACCCGCCUUCGGGCGACCGUUACCGCCGCGACGCGGCCCGCGGGCGCCAUCUUGUGGGCAGGCGGCCAUUAGCCGCGGGCGCGCCGGUCACGUCCCCCUUCUCCUGAGGGGGCUCCCGGGCGGCCGGGCCGAUCGGUACGGCCGGCGCUGCGGAGCGCGCGGGCCCCGCCGGUCGGAGCGGCGGCGGCUGCCGGCCCCAGGGUGCCCUGAGGGGGCUCAUGUCGGGGGCGCUGGCGGCUGUUUCCAGCACAGCGCCCAACAGUGACCUGAGUGCACGAGUUGUGGGGGCGUGACGGCUCCGAGGCUUUCAGAAUUCCCUUGUUUCCCCUUUCUCUCCGAGCACUUGAUUUACGGAUGAAAGACUUCGCAACUCAGGGUUGUAAAGCAGAUUGUGGAGUCUGUUUUCCGCAAUUCAGUAGGGACGCAGCGAUGCGUUUGAAGUCCUCUACAUCUGCGCUGAGAUAUGGACCUAACUUGCAAAGCAAAUGUGGAAAAUGUCUGCAAGCAUGGGACUGAAAGAGAUGACACUUGGGGAGGGAAGUCUGUGAGACGGUCAGUUUGCUGCUGCUGCCACUGAUGGGGAGCCUCUUGAGGGUCGUGGUACCAUCUCAGAGCAACGACCCAAGGAGGCAGCUGACUUCUGUCAAAGUCCCUGUUCUCUGUUGACCAAAGGCAUUGCACCGGCUGGUGAGAUUUCUUCUUCCCCCUUCCUCUUCCCUUUCCCUGCUUCCCAGGGGAAUCGGAUGAUUAAGUGAUGGAGACUUAAGUAAUAGCAACGAUCAUCAGCAAGACUCAGAAAGAGAACUGCAGUGCAAAACAAACAAACUUUCAGCAGGAACCCAUUUUUAAUAUACUCUGCAGCACGUUUAAUAAUGUAAUUCUCCAGUGCAUCUGCAUGUUUCACUAUACUUGUGAAGGAGAAGAAACACUGGCUCAUGCAAAAUUGCUCUGAAGCAUUCAUUGAUACACCGAAAAUUCAGCAGGCCUACACCAAGUUAUGAUGUUGGGCUUUUUAUGGGUAAUUUGAUGCAAAGGAGAAACUUUUUUCUUUCAUGCGUGCAGAUUUUGUCGAAGGUGGUGACUCUUGGUUUUGUGAAGAUAAACUUCUUGCCUUUUCGAGCAUAGACGCGCCUCUGACCUUAUCUCCAGAAUAGCAAUAGAAUUUAUUAACACGAUGUGGGGCCCCAUGUGAACUGGAAUACCUUUGCUUCACUUGCUUCGGUUUUGUGUCUUUGCUCAUUUCUAAAGGGGGGAAAAUAACAAUUUUCUGAUAGUUUUGUCUGUUGCUUCCGGUCUUGUGAAACUAAUGGUAAAAUAUUCGAAGUGUUAAUCUUUAGGUGCAUUUUUUUUUUCUACAGUCUGCCAAAUUCUGUUAGCUAAAACACGGCCAAAAAGUCACACUAAGCAUGAGAAAAGACAAUGGAGUAACCUUUGCCAGCUGCUGUAUAGAACACCAACUUUUGUACAGCUUGGAGAAAAAAUGGAGUAUCAACUCCCUGGGAGAAGAAAAAAAGGAGCAUUUGAUGCUUUGAUGGUGAGAGAGGAGCUAUGAACAAUCUCUCAUUUCAGUUAAAAAUUGUUUAUACUCCUGAUUUACUCGCUGGAGAUACCACAGUAUCACUAACAACUCUUUGGUACCGUUUGUGACAACUGAUAAUUGAACUGCUUUAAAAUGGGAGUGACAGUUCAUCUCAGCCGUGACACAGAGCAGGCUGUGGUGUUCUCUGCAGCAAGGAGCCGCUGCAUGGGCAAGGGAGAACUGUUGAAGCUGCUUCUCCUCAACUUCCACUGGCAGACAGGGAUGUCGCCAGAAAUCAGCAAAACCAGGGCCGGGCCAGCAGCUGGGGCAAGUGCAGGCUCCAAGGGCACUUGGAGGCCCUUGUUAGUAACCUGAGAGUAAAAGAAUAAAGAAACCUCUGACAACUGCAGGAAAAGUCUUAGUCUCUCAUGACUGCAAGCAGUGCAGCUGGCGUCGCUAUUGCUGCCACCCGUCACGGUUUCUCCUCCUUCUCCUGGUGCUCUACUCACCUUUCCCCUCGUGUUUCCAUUGCUUGUGUCCCUCUCCCGUCUACAGUUAUCCCACCAUCUUUCUUUCCUGCUUUCUUAAAUGGUACUGUUUUCUUCUAUUAUUCUCAUAGUGUUCUGUCUCUUGUUGUUUUAGAGGGAUUCUGUUAUAUUUCCAGAGAGCUUCCUUCCUCUCCAGGUACUUAAUGCAGAUGCCACUUUUGGCUUGGACACAUCCUCUAGCUUUUCAUAUUGUCUCAGCAGAGCAGCCAUGGGACGAGCUGAAUGAUGCUGGUUUGAUGCUUGUGUCAGUCUCCGCAAGCUCUGCUUAAAACCACAUGAACUCCUUGCAAGCACAGAAAACCCGUGUGUAGGCCAUAAGUAGGUGUAACACAGGCGUUAUCUCCCUUUGUUUAAAAACAAGGUAUUGAUGACUUGCCUUAAAGAGUGACCUGUGUGAACCGACUCUACUUAGGUGAAGUUCACUUUGCACUAUUAAUGUUCCCAGUAUUUGUAAGGCUUUUUAAAUUGUAACUUUAUUAUAUAAAUGGUCUCACAGAAA